AUUGAACGCUGGCGGCAUGCUCUACACAUGCAAGUCGAACGGUAACAGGCCGCCAGGUGCUGCCGAGUGGCGCACGGGUGAGUAAUGCAUCGGAACGUGCCCAGUCGUGGGGGAUAACUACUCGAAAGAGUAGCUAAUACCGCAUACGAUCUAUGGAUGAAAGCGGGGGACCGUAAGGCCUCGCGCGAUUGGAGCGGCCGAUGUCAGAUUAGGUAGUUGGUGGGGUAAAGGCUCACCAAGCCAACGAUCUGUAGCUGGUCUGAGAGGACGACCAGCCACACUGGGACUGAGACACGGCCCAGACUCCUACGGGAGGCAGCAGUGGGGAAUUUUGGACAAUGGGCGCAAGCCUGAUCCAGCAAUGCCGCGUGCAGGAAGAAGGCCUUCGGGUUGUAAACUGCUUUUGUACGGAACGAAACGGCUCUGGUUAAUACCCGGGGCUAAUGACGGUACCGUAAGAAUAAGCACCGGCUAACUACGUG
rnacentral:rRNA from 1 species